ensembl:lncRNA
AAAAGGUACCUACAAUUAGCAUUGCAUUUAGAAAUGUUGAUGGAAGAACAAGUUGGCCAUUCCAAUGCUCUAUUUUUUAACUUUCAGGCUUUGAUUAUCCUAGAGGUCACAACAGGUCAUAUUCAAAAGUGUCAAUCAAAGUCAAUCAAAAGUCAUCACGUCAUCACACAUGAAUGAAAUAAUCUCAGCUUUCUAGUCAAAUCCAAUAAUGCAAUUGGAAGAAUGUUUAGAAACAUGCAGAAAUAUUGGUUCCCAAUAUAUUUCAUUGACAUUCUUGAGCGGAGAGGUGAAGGGAAAUUUCCAGUCUUUAAGACGUUAUAUUAAGAUAUUACACGAUCACGUCAGUAGAGGGCGCUGUGGUGCUGCUGUGGAGACAUUGGAGAGAACGUAGCUACAGGCUCCGCUCAUGCGCAGCUCAGAAUAAAACUAGCUCUGGUUUGAGCAUGACGCUAACGUGUGUCCUCUCUUCAUAUUAAUCCACAGGCUACACAGUGCUUCCUAGCCUGUGUAACCUUUGCUGCCGGUCCAGAUUACCUCUAGGUCUGGUGCCGGUAACAAUUGGGGGCUCGUCCGGGAUACUCUAGCGUCCUUACCAGGCUGCGACAUUCGAGAGAGGAGAUAUAGCAGUCGACCAGCCGGGAGGCCACACUCCACCUCAUCCGGACUACAACCAUCCAGGCAGACAUCCAACUUCACCAACCACAGACAUUCCCCUACAACCAGCCGGGAGCUCCACCACUCCAGCAUCGACCAAGUCAUUCACAGCAGGUGUUCGGGGUGCUCACCAUGGGAGGAUGCUACAUUGAAGAAGUGGCCGGCAGCCAGCCGUGGGCAGAUAGGCACAGCUAUAAAUUCCAAGCUUGCAGAGAUGCGAAGAUCCAUGAAAUGAUUUUUUUUCCUUUCCAUUUUUUUGUUGUUUUUGUACAUUUUGAUAGUCCUUAAAUAAAUAAUGUAAAUUUCUAC